rnacentral:rRNA from 1 species
AGAGUUUGAUCCUGGCUCAGGACGAACGCUGGCGGCGUGCUUAACACAUGCAAGUCGAACGGAAAGGCCCGCAUCAUUUUUUUGGUGGGGGUGCUCGAGUGGCGAACGGGUGAGUAACACGUGGGUGAUCUGCCCUGUACUUCGGGAUAAGCUUGGGAAACUGGGUCUAAUACCGGAUAGGACCAUGGUUUAGUGUCUCAUGGUGGAAAAAUUAUUGUUUUGGUGCAGGAUGAGCUCGCGGCCUAUCAGCUUGUUGGUGGGGUAAUGGCCUACCAAGGCGUCGACGGGUAGCCGGCCUGAGAGGGUGGACGGCCACAUUGGGACUGAGAUACGGCCCAGACUCCUACGGGAGGCAGCAGUGGGGAAUAUUGCACAAUGGGCGCAAGCCUGAUGCAGCGACGCCGCGUGGGGGAUGACGGCCUUCGGGUUGUAAACUCCUUUCGUUAGGGACGAAGCCACACCUUUUUUGGGUGUGGUGACGGUACCUUUGUUAAGAAGCACCGGCUAACUACGUGCCAGCAGCCGCGGUAAUACGUAGGGUGCGAGCGUUGUCCGGAAUUACUGGGCGUAAAGAGCUCGUAGGUGGUUUGUUGCGUCGUCUGUGAAAUUCCGGGGCUUAACUUCGGGGUGGCAGGCGAUACGGGCAUAACUAGAGUGCUGUAGGGGAGACUGGAAUUCCUGGUGUAGCGGUGGAAUGCGCAGAUAUCAGGAGGAACACCGAUGGCGAAGGCAGGUCUCUGGGCAGUAACUGACGCUGAGGAGCGAAAGCAUGGGGAGCGAACAGGAUUAGAUACCCUGGUAGUCCAUGCUGUAAACGGUGGGCGUUAGGUGUGGGGACCGGUUUGGUUUCUGUGCCGUAGCUAACGCAUUAAGCGCCCCGCCUGGGGAGUACGGCCGCAAGGCUAAAACUCAAAGGAAUUGACGGGGGC